UGGGUCCGACAAGUUGCAUUUGCUCCAUUUUCUACAUCCAAAGUGAUCUCUCGACCAGCGCGCGAUUGAAUGUUCGAUAAGAGUAAAGGGCGGGUGGUGCUUUCGUAAGCACACCACCAUGCUCUACUCCUUCCAUUUAACCACUUGCCAUUUCUCUUUUCUUCUCCUUACAGUCUCUUGUCCCAAACCACCCAGAAAAAGAAAAGGCCUUUCCACUUCGUAGCUUUCUAACUGCAUCUAUCUGAAAUGGAAGGGUUUCGGAUUCGCCGCCAAGUUUUGCCUGCGUUGCUUUAACAUCGAGGGUCGAGACCCGAGAGCUAGAUUUGGAAGGGAGCGUAAGGUUAAUAGGCGUAUGAUGCGGUCACUGAAAGCUUUUCAAGUUGCAGCUUCAGAGAUUGAGGAGCUGUAUUGGAGGACUAGGGCAGUGAUCCAGCUGUUGUCUGAAGCCAGUAAACUUGCUGAUGGGUGGAUUUAUGAGUUUCUUAUUAUGAUUGAAAACGACCCUUUCAUGAGGAACGCUUUUGAAAUGAUCAAUGCUCAGAAUCUGGAUGUGACUUCUGAGGAACACAUUGAUCAGAAUCAGGAUGACCUGUAUGAUUUAUUCUAUUCGAUGAGUUGAUAGUUGUUUCUAUCAACAACACCAUCUUCAAAAUUUAAACUCACGUUUUGUUCUUAAAAGUACAAUAUGUACUACCUUUGUAAAACACUGUUAGGCUAAGGAGGGCAUUGGUAGAGUCAAUAAUAUGCUUAUGUUUAUGGUAUAAAGCUUCUGUUAGUGUCCUGGUUAUGUGUAUGGUAGUUGUAAUGCCAUGGUGUAUUCCGAUUGCAUCACCGCCUUACUGUUUCCCCCUAGUUUUCCAUCUCCUACAUGUUUAUUGUUACUGCUGGUGUACUUUGAUAUUUCAGCAGUGAAGUCUAAUGUUUUAAAAAAAUGUAUGGAUGAUUUUAUCUGUUUCUAAGACUCGGGUAUGGAACAUUUUAUAUUUUCUCA